UGUCAUCUGCGACGUCCUGCUCG
rnacentral:miRNA from 1 species